GAUGAACGCUGGCGGCGUGCUUAACACAUGCAAGUCGAACGGUGAAAGCGGGAGCUUGCUCCUGCUGGAUCAGUGGCGAACGGGUGAGUAACACGUGAGCAAUCUGCCCUUCACACGGGGAUAACUCCGGGAAACCGAAGCUAAUACCCGAUACGACCACUGGCCGCAUGGCCUGGGGGUGGAAAGUUCCGGCGGUGCAGGAUGAGCUCGCGGCCUAUCAGCUUGUUGGUUGGGUAGUGGCCUACCAAGGCAACGACGGGUAGCCGGCCUGAGAGGGUGAGCGGACAAACUGGGACUGAGACACGGCCCAGACUCCUACGGGAGGCAGCAGUGGGGAAUAUUGGACAAUGGGCGAAAGCCUGAUCCAGCAACGCCGCGUGAGGGAUGACGGCCUUCGGGUUGUAAACCUCUUUCAGCAGGGACGAAGCGCAAGUGACGGUACCUGCAGAAGAAGCACCGGCCAACUACGUGCCAGCCGCCGCUGUAAAAC
rnacentral:rRNA from 1 species